rnacentral:rRNA from 1 species
UACGGAGGGUGCAAGCGUUGUCCGGAUUUAUUGGGUUUAAAGGGUGCGUAGGCGGCCCGUUAAGUCAGCGGUGAAAUCCCACGGCUCAACCGUGGAACUGCCGUUGAUACUGGCGGGCUUGAGUUCGGUCGAGGCGGGCGGAACUGGCGGUGUAGCGGUGAAAUGCUUAGAUACCGCCAAGAACCCCGAUUGCGUAGGCAGCUCGCUGGGCCGAAACUGACGCUGAGGCA